rnacentral:rRNA from 1 species
GACGAACGCUGGCGGCGUGCUUAACACAUGCAAGUCGAACGGUGAAGCGCCUUCCUUUUUGGUGGGUGUGGAUGAGUGGCGAACGGGUGAGUAACACGUGAGUAACCUGCCCCCUUCUUCUGGAUAACCGCAUGAAAGUGUGGCUAAUACGGGAUAUUCUGGGUCUGUCGCAUGAUGGGUCUGGGAAAGAUAUUGUUUCGGUGGGGGAUGGGCUCGCGGCCUAUCAGCUUGUUGGUGGGGUGAUGGCCUACCAAGGCGGUGACGGGUAGCCGGCCUGGGAGGGUGGACGGUCACACUGGGACUGAGACACGGCCCAGACUCCUACGGGAGGCAGCAGUGGGGAAUAUUGCACAAUGGGCGCAAGCCUGAUGCAGCGACGCCGCGUGAGGGAUGGAGGCCUGCGGGUUGUGAACCUCUUUCGCCAGUGAAGCAGGCCUGCCUCGUUUGUGGGUGGGUUGACGGUAGCUGGAGAAGAAGCGCCGGCUAACUACGUG